CAAAGAUCCGUGUGGCAGGUUGGGGCUAGCUGAACAUGGGGCGUGUUUUUAAAGGCCUGGGAAAUAAAGGGAUACUCGCUGUUGUACGUUGGCUUCAUUUUUCGUUUUAUAAAAAACUAGCAUCUCAGGUUGGAUGACAGAUUUCUUCCCACAGCUGAAAUCCUACCUGGAAUAUUGCUGUUCUCGACUAAAACUAUAAGAGGCUGAACUGGAUCAAGUCUCCCAAAAUUCCCCAGAAGUACCUCUCAUAGGGCCCAGGAUGAUCAAUCUGGAAAAGCUGUUGUGCUCCUUCAGGACAAGUCAGUUUACACCAACCUGCGUUGUUCUCUUGAGGAUUCUUGAACAAAGGAACAAAAAAUAAAAUUAGGAAAGAAUGUC